rnacentral:lncRNA from 1 species
CAUAUAUGAAGAUACAUCAGUUCAUAUGAUUAAAUAUUGAAAAUUUAUCAAUAAUUGAGGUAUUUUUGUAAGUCACUUAUAAUGUUUGAAAGGAUUGGAAGUAAAAAAAAAGGACAGAAUAAAUUGCAUAACAAUCAGAAAAAUAAUAUAUUUAUAUUAGAUUUAUCAGUUAAUAUUUAUAUUAUUUAAUUUCAUUGUUUGACAGGGUAUUAGAGCAUUAUUAAGCAUAUUUUUUUUCUAAUUAAUUUAUAUUUGGUUGUAGUUCAGUUAUGCUAUCAGUUACACUUUCAGGAAUAUAUAUUUGUUGCUAAGAUAAGUUUCAGCAUUAACAUCAGUUAAGUAUUUAGUGAAGAAAUACUGGUUACUCAUUGGGUUAUUAUUGUGUUAGGGCUAUUCUAGGAAACGGCAUGAUACGGUUGAGGGGUGUUGCAGGGUUGAAUAGCACUUUUACACCAAAAGUCCAUCCAUACAAUUGUGAUUAGAUAUUAGAUAGAAAUAUGAUGCACUUUUGAGUGAAUCUUGUUUUGGACCCUUCUACCCCAAUAUUGAUAAUAUUAGGUGCUUUCUAACGCCUCUCCCAUAAAUUGAUUGUGGAAUAGCCCCUAGAAUUGAGUUAAGUUAAAUCUCAGGUUUUUUAUGUGUUAGAUAUUUUCAUUGUUUUUCAUUACUAUACAGGUUGAAUUUUUUGUGGGAACUAAGAUAAUUUUGCCUCUAAAUACGAAAGUCAUUAUUUUCUAAAAUAGAUUUGAUAAAGCUAUAAUUAAGUUCCUAAAAAUCGCCAUGACAACUAAUAUGCAUUCUUUGAGUAAUUUUGAAUACUUUAAAUUGACAUGCAGCCAUAAAAGGCAAUUGACCUUUGUCUAAAAAUAGAAUGACUCACAUAUCCUUCAUUUUGUUUUUAGGAAAUAAUCUAUCUUAAAAACAUCUAGUUAUUUCCAGUAAAACCAGUUGUAAUUGGAUCAGAUUUCCACAGAAAAUUAAACCUGAGUGUAGUAUUGAUAAUUAUUUGAGGUCAAUUGUUUUCUGUCCAUUACAUGUUCAUUCCACUUCAUAUUUUUAUUUUGGUCAGUUAUUCCUAACCAUCUUUUAAAAAAAACAUUAUUCUGCACUUUCAAUACCUGAAGUCAUAGAACUAACUUAGAAUUAUUUUAUUUUAUUGAAGAAAAGUAAACAGAUUAAAGUUUUCCUUCUAUUAUUUAAAGGUAAUAAUAAGUUAAAUUCUUAAGUUUUGAAAUAGAAAUUCAAAUUCCAAAAUUUAUUUGAAAUAUGUCUGAUUAUUAUUUUUUUCUGAAGCAAUGAUCUAGAAUCCAUUGCAAAAAUGAAUGUACAUUUUUUAUUGGAAUUCAAUCAUAUAUGAUAUUUAUGUAUGAUAAUUCUAAUGAUCCAAUUGAAAAUGAAUAACAGUUUGCCAAUUGUUUACUAUGUAAACAUUUAGGCCACACCAAGUCAUGUGAUAUUAAUUAUGUAAUAAAUGAUAGGCGGAUUAUUCAGUUUGGUAAUUUAGAAUGUUAUGGACAUGAAAGUAAUUGACAGUGUAGUCAGAAAGCUUACGUUUUAUUAAGCUUAUGUUCUAUACAUAUUAGAUAUUUGUAUCAAACAAGAUAGUAUUAGAGAUUUGUUUCAGAUUAUUUUGUAUAUUGUUGCAUUGGUGUGUAAUUUUUGGUAAAGGGCAGUAAUUUCGUUAUGAAACUUCAGUUAUCUCCCUUCAUUUUUGCAGGUAUUUUUUUUGUGUGUUCUUAACCAACAAAUUUUUUUAUAAAAAAAAUCCAUUUUGAUUAUGCAUAGAUGCCAACCAUUACGAUUUUUCCGUAGUUUUUCCGAUUUUGCGAUACAAACUACGCUAUUACGGUAAAGUCGAAUAGUUACGGAUUCCAAUCAUCGCCGUUCAAUUUUUAAAUCGCGGAUUUUUAUCAUUACUUUUCCGUCCUGGUCCGGUAUUUAGAAAACGACAAUGUAAUGUUUCCGGUUUCUCGGGAGUUAUCAACCUAUUGAUGGGAACUAACUGACUUCCGAAGAG